rnacentral:rRNA from 1 species
UACGUAGGGUGCAAGCGUUGUCCGGAAUUAUUGGGCGUAAAGAGCUCGUAGGCGGUUUGUCGCGUCGGCUGUGAAAGCCCGGAGCUCAACUCCGGGUCUGCAGUCGAUACGGGCAGACUUGAGUGUUGCAGGGGAGACUGGAAUUCCUGGUGUAGCGGUGAAAUGCGCAGAUAUCAGGAGGAACACCGGUGGCGAAGGCGGGUCUCUGGGCAGUAACUGACGCUGAGGAGCGAAAGCGUGGGGAGCGAACAGG